rnacentral:rRNA from 1 species
GGCCUUAGCGCGGUGGUCCCACCUGACCCCAUGCCGAACUCAGAAGUGAAACGCCGUAGCGCCGAUGGUAGUGUGGGGUCUCCCCAUGCGAGAGUAGGGAACUGCCAGGC